AUUGAACGCUGGCGGCAUGCUUUACGCAUGCAAGUCGAACGGUAACAGGCCGCAAGGUGCUGACGAGUGGCGAACGGGUGAGUAAUGCAUCGGAACGUGCCCAGUCGUGGGGGAUAACGCAGCGAAAGCUGUGCUAAUACCGCAUACGAUCUGUGGAUGAAAGCGGGGGACCGAAAGGCCUCGCGCGAUUGGAGCGGCCGAUGUCAGAUUAGGUAGUUGGUGGGGUAAAGGCUCACCAAGCCAACGAUCUGUAGCUGGUCUGAGAGGACGACCAGCCACACUGGGACUGAGAAACGGCCCAGACUCCUACGGGAGGCAGCAGUGGGGAAUUUUGGACAAUGGGCGCAAGCCUGAUCCAGCAAUGCCGCGUGCAGGAAGAAGGCCUUCGGGUUGUAAACUGCUUUUGUACGGAGCGAAAAGGCUCUCUCUAAUACAGGGGGCUCAUGACGGUACCGUAAGAAUAAGCACCGGCUAACUACGUGCCAGCCGCCGCCGUAAAAC
rnacentral:rRNA from 1 species